AUACGUAGGGUGCGAGCGUUGUCCGGAAUUACUGGGCGUAAAGAGCUCGUAGGUGGUUUGUCGCGUCGUCUGUGAAAUUCCGGGGCUUAACUCCGGGCGUGCAGGCGAUACGGGCAUAACUUGAGUACUGUAGGGGAGACUGGAAUUCCUGGUGUAGCGGUGAAAUGCGCAGAUAUCAGGAGGAACACCGGUGGCGAAGGCGGGUCUUUGGGAAUUAACGGACGGUGAGGAGAGAAGGCAUGGGUGGCGAACAGGAUUAGAUACCCGGGUAGUCCAUGCCGGAACGGUGGGCGCUAGGUGUAGGGGUCUUCCACGACUUCUGUGCCGUAGCUAACGCAUUAAGCGCCCCGCCUGGGGAGUACGGCCGCAAGGCUAAAACUCAAAGGAAUUGACGGGG
rnacentral:rRNA from 1 species